rnacentral:tRNA from 1 species
GACCGCGUAGCUCAGUUGGAAGAGCAUUGGGCUAGUAUUCCAAAGGUCGUAGGUUCGAAUCCUGCCGUGGCCG